rnacentral:lncRNA from 1 species
CGAGCACCCUUCAAUGGGCCUGGUGGGUCGUGAUGGUGAGUCCCUGCUCACCCAUGGAUCCGAGUGGAGAGCUAGGGGCCUGACUGGGGGCGUCAGUCCCUGGGCAGAUGGGUACCACUCUGCGCUCUGAAGCCAUGUCAAGGAGCUGUGAGCAGAAGCUGGGAAAGGAGCCGACUUUCCCCUCUGUGCGCACCCCUUCUGCACAUCUCAUUGUCUCCUGGCAGGAAAUACUUAGAUGAGGCGGAAGUCCAUAGCAACACUUUUCUUUAGCACGUUCGACCCUGAGGACGCAUACUGAACUUAGAGACUCAAAAGCCAGGAUCCACAGGUUGGGGUGGCACCCUGG